UCAAACUUGGUCAUUUAGAGGAAGUAAAAGUCGUAACAAGGUCUCCGUUGGUGAACCAGCGGAGGGAUCAUUAAAGAGUUGUAAAACUCCCAAACCCAUGUGAACAUACCUGUUGCCUCGGUGGGCUACCCUGUAGCUACCCUGUAGUCUGCCGAAGGAACUCUAAACUCUUGUUUAUCAGUAUCAUCUCUGAAUAUAACUUUUAAAUAAGUCAAAACUUUCAACAACGGAUCUCUUGGUUCUGGCAUCGAUGAAGAACGCAGC
rnacentral:misc_RNA from 1 species